rnacentral:rRNA from 1 species
AAGUUGCUGCGGUUAUAUGCUCGUAGUUUAACAUCUGCCGAGGGCGACCGGUCCACCCGCGGGGUGGAGUAUAUUGUUUGGUCUUGGCAUAAUUUUGAAUCGUUCCAUUGUACUUGGCUGUGCUGUGUGUGCGAGUCUUGCAAUUCACUUUGAGGAAAUUAGAAUGUUUCCAGCAUGCAUAUGCAAUGAACACAUUAGCAUGGAAUAUUGAAUUCGGAUCGCCGCUGUAUUCAAUUGGUUUUUAAAGCUGCGGUAAUGACCGGUAGGAAUAAUUGGUGGCAUUCGUAUUCAAUAGUCAGAGGUGAAAUUCUUGGAUUUAUUAAAGACGAGCUGCUGCGAAAGCAUUUGCCAAUUAUGUUUUCAUUGAUCAAGAACUAAAGUUAGGGGAUCGAAGACGAUCAGAUACCGUCCUAGUCCUAACGUUAAACAAUGCCGACUAGGAAUUGAAGGUAGUCAAUUGUACGACUCCUCCAGCGUUUUAUGAUAAAUCAAAGUACUUGGGUUCCGGGGGGAGUAUGGUCGCAAGGCUGAAACUUAAAGGAAUUGACGGAAGGGCACCACCAGGAGUGGAGCCUGCGGCUUAAUUUGACUCAACACGGGGAAACUUAUCAGGUCCCGACAUAAUAAGGAUUGACUAAUUGGUUGCUUGUUCUUGAUUAUAUGGGUGGUGGUGCAUGGCCGUUCUUAGUUGGUGGAGUGAUUUGUCUGGUUAAUUCCGUUAACGAACGAGACCUUGGUCUGCUAAACGAUUAUACAUAACUGCGGCUAUAUUUAUCACUCCUUAGAGGGACGUUGUGCUCUUAGUACAAGGAAGUUUUAGGCAAUAACAGGUCUGUGAUGCCCUUAGAUGUUCUGGGCUGCACGCGCGUUACACUGAUACAGC